UACGUAGGGGGCAAGCGUUGUUCGGAAUUACUGGGCGUAAAGCGCACGUAGGCGGCUUGGCAAGUCGGAUGUGAAAUCCCUCGGCUCAACCAAGGAAGUGCAUCCGAAACUGCUGAGCUUGAGUACGAAAGAGGAUCGCGGAAUUCCCGGUGUAGAGGUGAAAUUCGUAGAUAUCGGGAGGAACACCAGUGGCGAAGGCGGCGAUCUGGGUCGAUACUGACGCUGAGGUGCGAAAGCGUGGGGAGCAAACAGG
rnacentral:rRNA from 1 species